UUAACACAGAUGCAUAAAAGCAGGGGGCAGGGGUGUUCAUGCCAGUUAGCGAAGUAGGUGAGACCUUGUGUGUAAGACACAUGGUUUGUGCUCACUCAGUGCGUCAGAGAGAGAAAAAUAAGCGCCUGUUUUUUUCCUUAGCUUUCGUCUCCAUGAGGACAAGAACCGUGUCUGAUGCUCACGGCUGUAUCCCUUGUGCCUGAGUAAAACAUGGGCCAGCUGAAUCACACUCAAGGCUCUGACGAGCUAUUUGGGGACCCCAUUUGUGAUGCAGUGCCAAAUUGCAGAGCAAAUGGCCAGGAAUAUGGAUGGGGUUCUGGCCACAUAGGCUGCCCACGCCUUCCCCUACGCAGCUUCUCCAUGAGAAACCAGCAACGAAAGAGAACAGUUCCUGCCAACAGUUUCUAAGAGUUAUUUCGCACAUGCCUCAACUCCCACUGGCAAGGGUGUUGUGUUGUUUUGUUUUGCGGACUAGAAAGAAUUCCUUAACAGGUUGGGCCUGUGAAAUUAGAGUUGCUUCCUUAAAGGAUUAAAUUCCCAAAUACUCAUGAACAUGAAGGCACACGAUAAUGAAAUUCUUGUUUUUCAUUAAAAGAGAAUUAAACCAAUGACCUUUUACAUAAAUUUUUGCCUUUUGUCUUCCGACUGAUUUUGGUGUUAGUUCAUUAUAUUAUUUAAGUUCUUGGAUCUUUAGGUAUUUAAUGUGGAUGAUGCUUUAUAGACACCAAAGGCUGUAUGCCUGAAUUCUUUCCAUUCUAUAUAAC